GAUGAACGCUGGCGGCGUGCUUAACACAUGCAAGUCGAACGAUGAGGCCCAGCUUGCUGGGUGGAUUAGUGGCGAACGGGUGAGUAACACGUGAGUAACCUGCCCUUAACUCUGGGAUAAGCCUGGGAAACUGGGUCUAAUACCGGAUAGGAGCGCCUACCGCAUGGUGGGUGUUGGAAAGAUUUAUCGGUUUUGGAUGGACUCGCGGCCUAUCAGCUUGUUGGUGAGGUAAUGGCUCACCAAGGCGACGACGGGUAGCCGGCCUGAGAGGGUGACCGGCCACACUGGGACUGAGACACGGCCCAGACUCCUACGGGAGGCAGCAGUGGGGAAUAUUGCACAAUGGGCGAAAGCCUGAUGCAGCGACGCCGCGUGAGGGAUGACGGCCUUCGGGUUGUAAACCUCUUUCAGUAGGGAAGAAGCGAAAGUGACGGUACCUGCAGAAGAAGCACCGGCUAACUACGUG
rnacentral:rRNA from 1 species